AAACAGGCUUUUCUCUCACCUUAGCUCUCCACGUCCUUUUUUAGGGGUGGGCAUUCGUUGACACGUGUCGAGAUCUAAGUGGGUGUAUGUUUUUUUUAAGCGAGCUGUCAAAAUCUGUGAACAUCUUCUGGGCUAUAUGUUAUUUAUUUGACACUUUAAGCCCAAACUUAGAAACCCACCAAUGCAUUAGGGCUUUUUUCAUCUUCUUCUUACGGCUCACCGUGGACGAAGAAAACACAGAGAAACUUGAAUCACCGUCUUGAACAUAACGUUUUCAUCAUCCAUAACUCUGUUCUUAACUCCACCUCCCCCCUUUUAAUUCGCUCCUCCCACUUGAAGUAAUCAAUAUAACUCUUCGUAUUCUACCUUAACCGGCUUCAGCCUCAGAUAUAAAUACGGCAUCUCACCUUCCUGCGAUGCGCACCUCAUCUCAAACGAAAUUUAGCAGCAAACUCUUUCCUAGCAAAUUCGAUCUGAGAGCUGGCCGAUACUCCAAUACUGCAAAGGUCCGUCUGGUUUGGUUUUGGGAGGCUAUGAAUAUCAACAAGGGAGGGGAACUUAUGAGUGUUGACAUGUUGCUCAUCCAUGAGAAUGCAAGAAGAAAAAAGAUCAGCAAGAGAAUGAAUAUACUUCAGGAUAUAGUUACUGGUUGCAACCGGAUAACAGGGAAAGCAGCACUGCUUGAUGAAAUUAUAGAAUAUGUGCAGACAAGUUGAGUUCUUUUCCAUGAAGCUGGCUACUAUAAAUUCAAGUUUGGAGUCAAACCCUGAUGCUGCUUUAUCUAUAGAGCCGGGAGAGUCGUUAACACAGUCUCUUACGCAAUAGCUUGCUUAUGGUAAAGACUUCUGUCAUGAAUAUAUUAUCAUGCCAAGAACAUGCCUAGAUUCUCAGACACGCAAUCUCCCUCAAGUGAUGGAUUUGUUCAAGCCAAGGUAAUUAGUAGUUAAUGUCAUAGAUUCUGAAGACGAUUUGACAACGCAUGUGCUCAAAUAUUUUUUUGUUUCUGUUUGGAUUUUCUGAUACACGGAUCCUGAAAAAUUGAUCUACAAAGUAAUUUUCAAAUGGGUUUUGGAGAUGUCCAGCAACAGAGUAGCAACAACAGUUGUUCUGAGGCAACAUUACAGAUGAAGCCUCAGCCAUGUGAAGAAGGUGAUCCAGUGGGCAACAUAGGGAGAAUAAACACACGCUCUUUGUUUAAAAGUUGUGUUGACCACAUGGUGAUAUGUCUCCACUUUUUUUUAAACCGAUUACUCUCCACGUUGAUUGAUAAUUCCCCAUGCUUAAAUGAUAGAAAAGAAUGCAUCACUGAUAUACAUAAGAUA